rnacentral:rRNA from 1 species
CCCUACGGGGGGCAGCAGUGGGGAAUAUUGGGCAAUGGGCGCAAGCCUGACCCAGCAACGCCGCGUGAAGGAAGAAGGCUUUCGGGUUGUAAACUUCUUUUAUUCGGGACGAAGAAAGUGACGGUACCGAAUGAAUAAGCCACGGCUAACUACGUGCCAGCAGCCGCGGUAAUACGUAGGUGGCAAGCGUUAUCCGGAUUUAUUGGGUGUAAAGGGCGUGUAGGCGGGAAUGCAAGUCAGAUGUGAAAACCAUGGGCUCAACCUGUGGCCUGCAUUUGAAACUGUUUUUCUUGAGUACUGGAGAG